CAUGUAUAAUAUUCCCUUUGGCUUGUUUGUCGGCAUGAACAACCAUUUUCAGAGCAUCGUAGCAUCGGUUUUGGUUCGUGAUGAGAAGGUUGAAAGCUUUUUGGGUUUCAAGUGAAUUUCUGAGGAGCUUGCAGCACAUUGUUGGGCGGGCUGGGCAGGCCAAACUGAGAUUGCCUCGUCCCGUGGGUUGGCUGUAAUAGGAGCAGGUGCUGCAAAGCUGGGCGGGCCAUGACCGAUGUAGCCUCUCUGAAGCUCCGCUGGUGUAUCUAUGCUUAAAGUGGUACAUUAACUUGUGUGGUUCUGUUUUACAGGGGAGACCUGUAAUGAGAACUAACUUGGCCAUAGAGAGACAUGCUGGGAAGAUAUAUACAAGAGCAAUGUUCGAGCAAUUUGGACAUAUUCUACAUGAGUGCGAUGCUUACGAGGUUGAGGAGAUCAAGAAAGGGAAGCUGUACGCUAUCAUGCACACUGAAGCAGAAAGGAGAGAGAAAUGGUGUGGGGUCUCAUAUAAAGUGUGCUCAGUGGAGGAGAGGAGUGUGAGUGUAGUCAAUUCGCUCACAUGGGAGUACUCUACAGUCAUGUGCUGAAGGUACUGGACUUCAUCCGCAUUAAGGAAAUUCCGCAGAAGCACAUAGUGAAGAGAGGCCCACGUCAUCUUACGCACUACCAGAAAGAUCAUGCCCACAGAAAUCCUUUUAGCUAUGGACAUUUCAAUAUGUAUAUGCAUGCCAUGGAGCCCUGUCCGUUUGGGUGACACAAGUGUUGAGGCUUAUGACCGUCUGAUUUCUCUUUUCAAGAACUGCAUGGUGGAAAUGCAACCUUUUGUGGAGAUUAGGAAUGGGCUUGGACUGGAAGACAGUAUUCUGAAAACGGUGAUGUUGUGAAUCAAAUUCAGACUGAAGGGGCACUUGUCAUUGCUGGGAACAGAGGAUAAAAUAGCCUUGGCAACGAUGAUGUUAAUUCAACAAAUGAGUCUGGGAACAGAUUGGCAGGACUUUUGCCACCGACAAAGAGGAAGGAGAUGGGCAGGCCUGCGACCAGCAGUAGGAAGUGCCUUAUGAAGGGUUGAGGAAGAGGACCAUGUUUUGCACUACUUGCCGGCAACAGGGAAACAAAAAGACUACGUACCCAAACCGCGGAGAUGUGCCAUAGCAGGCUAGAAGACCGCCCGAUGCAAGAACUGUGGAGUCGAAGGCCACCGGUAGAACAAUUGCAACAAAGCAGCGGAGCUAUGUCUGAAAGAGAGUUGACUGAAAAAGUAGGGAUGUACCUGGGACAAUACCUGCAUGGUUAGGAUAAAUGGUUUAUGUGUAUGACAAUUUGCAGAUAAUGCAGACUGUUUGUUGUAGCUUGUGUCCUCAUGCUGAAGCUGCAAAUUUCCUUUGCGUGUGUUGAUACAAGUGUGUCUGAAUGUAUUUCUUUGAUACUUCCUGAGUGGAACUAGUCUGAAUAAAUAGAUUGUGGUUCGAAUAAACUGUACUGAAUCUGUUGUGAGUUGGUCUGGGUUUUGAUCUGG